GACGAACCGUGCGAACGUUGUUCGGAAUCACUGGGCUUAAAGGGCGCGUAGGCGGGCUGUCAAGUUUGGGGUGAAAUCCCGCGGCUCAAUCGUGGAACUGCCUCAAAUACUGACGGCCUCGAGGAAGGUAGGGGCAUGCGGAACUGUAGGUGGAGCGGUGAAAUGCGUUGAUAUCUACAGGAACUCCGGUGGCGAAAGCGGCGUGCUGGACCUUUUCUGACGCUGAGGCGCGAAAGCUAGGGGAGCAAACGGG
rnacentral:rRNA from 1 species